GAGAGAGAGAGAGAGAGAGGAAGGGACCAACACAACACAUAAACAGAGAAGACUGAGGAGUGAAGAUGAAGACUAACAGAGUCUAUAUAUUUAUUUAUUUUCAGCACAGAAAGCGAAGCUUCUCUUUCCAUCAUUAUUAUUGCUCACCUUCUUUGUAUCACUUUUCUUUCACUCUCCUCAUGUUCUGUGCUAAGUGCUAACCCCACUUUCCUUUCUCUAUUACAUAUUAUACAUUCUCACAGGCACACAGAACCAACAAAACAAAACAGAGGUUAAAGAAACAAGAAAACAAAAGAAAAUCACACUAGAGAAGAAAAUGGAUUUCGAUCUUGAAAAUCCAUUGACUAGCUUGAAAGAACACCAAUUUGAUACUAUCCCAGAUCUCUUUGCCUCUGAAUCUGACCACAUGCCUUCAAGAAACUUCUUAAAAUGCUUGAAAACCUGUGACUUCUAUUCCUCCUUUCGUCAAGAAGCCAUUUCUCUCAUUUUACAGACUCGGUAUUCUUGCAACUUCAAGCCCUUUCUUGCUUAUCUUGCCAUCAAUUACGUGGAUCGAUUCAUCUCCAGGCAAGAAAUCCCGGUAUACAACUAAAAAAAAUAUGAUGUUUUCGGUACUUAUUUUUCCUCCUCAAAUGAAGGUUUUGCUCUUUGAAUUCUUGAUUAAUUUGCACCAACCAACGACAUAAUUUCAAGUGUCCACAAACAUUUGGCUGAUAUUGGUUCUUUUGGCAGCAAGGCAAGCCGUGGGUUCUGCGACUUCUCGUAAUAUCGUGCCUUUCUCUGGCAGCAAAGAUGAAGAACACCCAUUUCUCACUCUCUAAUUUACAGGUAAGUUCAUUUUACAAUCAUAUCUAUUUGAUGAAGGAAAAAUUGGCGUGGUCAGAGAAAUUGAUGUGAAUGGAAACAAUGAAAUAUGAAUUACAGAGGGAAGAAAGUUUCAUCUUCGACAUGCAAACGAUUAAUCGAAUGGAGCUUCUCAUUCUUGAUGCUCUGAAUUGGCGAAUGAGAUCCAUAACACCUUUCUCUUUCGUGCAUUUCUUCAUUUCUGCAUUUGAACUCAAAGAUCCAGCAUUAACACAAGCACUAAAAGAUCGAGCUACAGAGAUUAUUUUUCAAGCUCAUAAUGGUAAUAGAAUAGUACUAUAAAACUUUUGUUCUUUUUCUUUUUCUUUUUCUAUUCAAGCUUUAAUGUAGCCCAACUUUGUGUAGCUAAUAACUCCUUUUUCUUUUUAUUGCAGGAAUAAAGUUACUAGAGUUCAAGCCAUCAAUUAUUGCAGCAUCAGCCCUUCUUGUAUCUUCCCAUGAACUAUUCCCACUGCAGUUUCCAUCUUUCAGAUGUUCAAUUUCCUCUUGUGAAUGUGUAAAUACAGUAAGCAAACAAGCAAAAUUUCCAUUUCCAGAUUUGUAUAGUUUUUAUUGAACUCCUGUUUAACAGUUGAUUCAAAAUGGUUUUAGGACCAGCUGCUAAAAUGCUUUAAUGCACUGCAAGAAAUGGUGGAAACGGAAUGGUACGAGUCAAUGAUAGAUAAAGUUUCGAGCACAAGAACCCCAUUGAGCGUCCUGGACAGGCAUUGCACCAAAUCAGAAAGUGAGACCACAAGCAUAGCUGCCAAUGCAUUGCCAGAGAAGAGAGAAAUCAAGCGGCGGAAAACGAUUCGCUAAUAUAGCAAGUGACAGAAUGGUCCAGCUUAGUUUCACAGAUUCAGCAGAGAAGAUAACUCUGUUUCGGGGGUAACUCUGCAAUUGGUCAAUUUCUCAAGCUCCAUAACAGAACCCACAGAGGGAUAGCUUAGCUUGCAAUUGAGGGGGC
rnacentral:misc_RNA from 1 species